UACAGAGGGUGCGAGCGUUAAUCGGAAUUACUGGGCGUAAAGCGUGCGUAGACGGCUAUCUAAGUCGGGUGUGAAAGCCCCGGGCUCAACCUGGGAACUGCAUUCGAUACUGGGCGGCUAGAGUAUGAGAGAGGGAGGUAGAAUUCCACGUGUAGCGGUGAAAUGCGUAGAUAUGUGGAGGAAUACCGGUGGCGAAGGCGGCCUCCUGGUUCAAUACUGACGCUGAGGUGCGAAAGCGUGGGGAGCAAACAGG
rnacentral:rRNA from 1 species